GUCGAACGGCAGCAUGAUCUAGCUUGCUAGAUUGAUGGCGAGUGGCGAACGGGUGAGUAAUACAUCGGAACGUGCCCUGUAGUGGGGGAUAACUAGUCGAAAGAUUAGCUAAUACCGCAUACGACCUGAGGGUGAAAGUGGGGGACCGCAAGGCCCCAUGCUAUAGGAGCGGCCGAUGUCUGAUUAGCUAGUUGGUGGGGUAAAGGCCCACCAAGGCGACGAUCAGUAGCUGGUCUGAGAGGACGAUCAGCCACACUGGGACUGAGACACGGCCCAGACUCCUACGGGAGGCAGCAGUGGGGAAUUUUGGACAAUGGGCGAAAGCCUGAUCCAGCAAUGCCGCGUGUGUGAAGAAGGCCUUCGGGUUGUAAAGCACUUUUGUCCGGAAAGAAAUGGCUCUGGUUAAUACCUGGGGUCGAUGACGGUACCGGAAGAAUAAGGACCGGCUAACUACGUGCCAGCAGCCGCGGUAAUACGUAGGGUCCAAGCGUUAAUCGGAAUUACUGGGCGUAAAGCGUGCGCAGGCGGUUGUGCAAGACCGAUGUGAAAUCCCCGAGCUUAACUUGGGAAUUGCAUUGGUGACUGCACGGCUAGAGUGUGUCAGAGGGGGGUAGAAUUCCACGUGUAGCAGUGAAAUGCGUAGAGAUGUGGAGGAAUACCGAUGGCGAAGGCAGCCCCCUGGGAUAACACUGACGCUCAUGCACGAAAGCGUGGGGAGCAAACAGGAUUAGAUACCCUGGUAGUCCACGCCCUA
rnacentral:rRNA from 1 species